UACGUAGGGUGCAAGCGUUAAUCGGAAUUCCUGGGCGUAAAGGGUGCGCUGGCGGUUGAUUAAGUCAGAUGUGAAAUCCCCGGGCUCAACCUGGGAAUGGCAUUUGAGACUGGUUAGCUAGAGUGUGUCAGAGGGGGGUAGAAUUCCACGUGUAGCAGUGAAAUGCGUAGAGAUGUGGAGGAACACCGAUGGCGAAGGCAGCCCCCUGGGAUAACACUGACGCUCAGGCACGAAAGCGUGGGGAGCAAACGGG
rnacentral:rRNA from 1 species